GCCAACGACCAUACCACGUUGAAUACACCAGUUCUCGUCCGAUCACUGAAGUUAAGCAACGUCGGGCGUAGCUAGUACUUGGAUGGGUGACCGCUUGGGAACACUACGUGCCGUUGGCA
rnacentral:rRNA from 1 species